rnacentral:lncRNA from 1 species
UGUUAUUGUAAAAUGAACAUGGCGACAAUACAUUGUCUUAAUGGGUCUGGAACUGGCAGUGAAUAAGAGAGGCAGGCUAGGGAAGGGGGCCAGGUACAAUAGUAGCCCAGAGACUGAGACAUGCCACCAGUUUGUCAGGGAGGCCGUCUUCAGUCUUUAUACUGUGCAAAAGAGGUCCCUGCACUGGGUCCUCAUGCUUUAGAUGGUCCUGCUCUGGUCCUUUUCCAGCUGUGUCCUUCCCCAUUGGGCACAGCUCUUGAGAGGCAAGGGGAUGUGCUUACCCAGAGUCCAUAUCCAUCCCUCUAGACCAUACUUCAACAACAGUUUCUUGCCCAAAUAGUCCACUCCCACUUCUGGGAUCUUCUUAAAGUCCAUCCUCCUGAGGGGAGGUCACUGUGUAGAUAGGAAUCCCUGGGUCCCUGUGCUGGCCAAGGGGAAGCUGUUUAUAGAGGUGUGGACAUACCUUAGAUCCUGGGUGGGGUGUCCAUACAGGCACACAUGAGGUGUAACAGGUUGCUGGAGAGAGAGAAAAAAAAAGUGGAGUGGUCUCUGAGCUGAGGGCGAGCUGUCAACUUCCCCAGCAUCACCACCAUGUUCUGUUAUGAAACUCCAAAGGGUCUGAGACUGGCAAAGUUGAACUGGAUCUCUAGGUCAUUAUGAUGGCACACUUGUUAAGGUGGAAGGAUAGAACGUGUUCUAGAUAGCAGUUUGCUAGCUUAGUUUAUAAUGCUGAAAAGGCUAUAAAUGUGGCAUAUGGACCUUCGCUUGUCUUCCUGCCACAGGCCUCGCAAAUAUCAGGUAUGGGACUGGCAGAGCCUGGCUGCACUUGAAAGGGGAUAUAAGACUGAGAAUUUGGUCUAGCGUUAGGUUGGAAAUAAUUGGACGUCCCCAAAGAUGACUUACCAGUUCUGUGAGAAGGACAGAAUUAAGAGUGUUGAUGUCAGGCAGAGGUGAAACAGACCCCAGCUCUCUUUUGGACCUCUCCUCUUCCUCUCCCUGGCUUCUCUGCAUCUCUUGGAGAUAUAGUCUGGUUGGACAGAAAGCAGAUGUAGUGGAAAGUAUAUUCAGAGCUGAAUUGGUGGGGAAUCUUUCAGCACUGCCAAUUAUUGGCCUCAAUUUCCCUAUUAAAAUAGUGAUAUUUACUUCUGGGGUUGCUUUGAAGAUAAGACGAAUUAAUGUAAAGUGGUAUAAUGCGAACUAGUCAAGUUGAAGAGCUGUUCAACCAAGGGCCCCUCCCUUCUCUUUCUGCUUUGAUAAGAAUAAACUUUCCUGUGUUUUAUUUCCUUGGAUACUUACCAAAAGUCUUAUUUAAUAUUUAAUAUAAUUCUCACUAAUGACAUAACAUGAAUACUCUCAGGAAAAGUUUUGAAAAGUGACUCCUGGAAAUAGUGCACUUUAAUGCCACAGAAAUAUUUUGGGGCAACAGGGUCCUUUAAUUCUCACUCACAGAGUAACCAGUGCCCAUCUCAAAGGCUUAACUAUGUUGAGAUGCAGGUUUCAUCGCUCUGGUGUUAUCUUUGACAUAUCAACAUUGGCUUCAUCUCAGUUAUUGGAUUUUGAUUUAUUUCCAGAAUUACCUGGACUGAGUUCAAUGCCAGAGAGUAUUUGGAAUGAUGGACUAUCACAUGGACUUCAUUUUCUUGAAAUGUCGCAUGCUCUAAUGUUCCAAUUUUUCUCAGCAGACAGUAGUGUGAUGGUUAGUUUUAUGUGUCAACCUGACUAGGAGACAGUACCGAAUUAUUCAAUGAAAUGCUAAUCUAGGUGUUGUUGUGAAUGUAUUUUGUAGCUGUGGCUAACAUCUACAGUCAAUUGACUUUAAGUAAAAGACAUUGACCACAUUAUCUGGGUGAGGUCCAUCCAAUCAGUUGAAAAACCUUAAGAACAAUCAGGUUUCUCUGAAGAAGAAAUUAUGCCUCUAUCUGUCUGUCUAUCUAUCUAUCUAUCUAUCUAUCUAUCUCUCUAUUAUCUAAUCCCCCUUCCUUCCUUCCUUCCUUCCUUCCUUCCUUCCUUCCUUCCUUCCUUCCUUCCUCUCUCUCUCUCUCUCUCUCUCUCUCUCUCUCAAUUGGUUCCCUUUCUCUGCUAGAACCCUGACCAAUACAAAUUUGGUACCAAGGGUAGUUCUAGAAGUACAGAAUCUCAAAGAUGAGUUUCUGAAUUGAUUCCAGCUUUUCUGGAAUUGUUUUUCUAAUCUGGCAGAGUCCAGCUACAUUUACAAGGGGAUAUAAGAUUGAGAAUUGGCUCUACUGUUAGACUAAUGUGAUUAGACUGUUUACAUUUAGAGGCACUAGUAACGCCAUUUCCUGUGGUAAAGAGGGCACUGGUAGUCUGUGGCAUGAUGUGGCAAUAGAGGAACACAAAAUAUCAUCAUUGGAUACUCCUAAUCAAAUGGGUAUAAAAGGCAAAGUUCUGGGUAAUUACAUUUGAUUGGUGCUUCAGAAUAUUUUAGUCAAAUUAAGGAGUAUAAUGAUCUUGGUUGCUUGCUUCUAACUGGCCUGGAGAAACUAGGGAAACACAAGGAUGAACUCAGAGGUGUAAAUUCCUAGCUCAAGUUCUGCAUACACAUCCUGAAAGAAACACCAAUCUUCUAUUGUUGCAGGACUGAGAUUUCUGAAAGCCAAACUCUGAGUCUUAUCCUAUGUGUAGCAUUAAUACAAUAAACACCGAAUCCCAACCUCACAGAGUUUCUUCUGUUAAAGUGGGCCCAUUGGUGGGAAAGAAUGGGAUCCUGAAAAUUGAAAUGGGAUGUAUCAGGAAACCUCAAUGAACCUGAGGGUACUGGACCCUUAAGUUCUGCUGGGUGUUCUUUGCCAAUAGUACCUCCCCUUCCUUGUCUGAGGACGUUAACACUGCUUUGUCCGAAGAAUCUGUAAUAAUCUCCCUGAUGUGAUUCCCUGGCAAGACACUGCCGAUUUUCUUCAGGACAUACUCCAUACCCAUCUUUGCUUUAAAACUCUAAUGAGACUGAAGUUCCAGGGGGUGACGUGCAAAGUGUGAUGCAUGAGGAGAUGCAAAACAUACCCAGAGAACCUCAUGAUUUUUCCAAAUCAUACGGAUAAUAAUCUGUGAUAUGUGUCAGGAUGCAUAGUAAGGGAGUGGGGUAUCGCAGAAAAAAACAUAAAGUUGGGUCAGGCUGAAUUUAACUGAUAUGCGUUCACUAAGCAAAACUCCUGGAUUCGGUUUUUUAGCCUGAAGAUUUAGAAACCACUCUAAGUUUGUUUGUUUAAUUGGCUGAAACAUGGACCGAAAGGUUGUCUGCUCUAAGCUAAGUUGAGGGGAGCCUGGGUGGCUCAGUUGGUUCAGCGUUCGACUUAAGCUCAGGUCAUGAUCUCAUGGUUCAUGGGUUCAAGUCCCACAUCAGGCUCAGUGUUGAGAAUUCAGAGCCUGGAGCCUGUUUCAGAUUCUAUGUUUCCCUCUCUUUCUGCCCCUUCGCUACUCGUACUCUGUCUCUCGAAAAUAAAUUAAUUAAGUUGAAAUGGCAGAAUUGCCUUGCUAUACUAUUCGGGAAGGUUUUUAAAGGCUUAGGGAGAUUGGAAUUUUAGAGUAGAUUUAUCAUCUAAGACCCACUCAUCCACCCUGGGAGGACCUAGGGAACACACCUUUCAUUACGACUGUGAGAAAUAAAUUUUUGAGGGCAGUCUCAGCGUCCUUCGUGAGCUCUGUGGUUGCUCUUCCUUUCAGGUCAGAAUUUACAGUGGGGACUGUUGACACCAAAGAAGGAAGCAGAAUAAUCUGACUCACAAAGAGGUAUGGUGCUGGCUAGAUGAUCACGGUGUCCCUAGAAAAAGAGUAGAUAGACAUUCUACUGAAUUCUCACUUGAUCUGUACAAGUGGAAGUGUUGCAGGUUGAGGGGACAGGAGUCUAACUUGAAGCAUAGAAAUAGUUAUGCAUCAAAUGGUGCCCUUCCUAAAUUUGUAUGGUGAAGCCCUAAUUGUCAAUGAGACUAUAUUUGAAGACAAGGUCUUUAAAAGGGUAAUUAAGGUUAAUUUUUUUAAAUGUUUAUUCAUUUUUGAGAGAGACAGAGUGUGAGCAGGGGAGGGGCACAGAGAGAGGGAGACACAGAAUCUGAAGCAGGCUCCAGGUUCUGAGCUGUCAGCACAGAGCCCAAUGUGGGGCUUGAACUCAUGAACCGUGAGAUCAUGACCUGAGCCGAAGUCGGAUGCUUAACUGACUGAGCCACCCAGGCACCCCUAAAGGAGUAAUUAGGGUUAAAUGAGGUCAUGGGGUAGAGCCCCAAUCCAGUAUGACCUGUGUCUUUAUAAGAGGAGGAAGAGGGGCAUCUGGGUGUCUCAGUCAGUUAAGCUUCUGACCCUUGAUGUUGGCUCAGGUCAUGAUCUCACAGUUGGUGAGACUGAGACCUCGAGCUGGGCUCUAUCCUGACAGUUGUGGACCCUGCUUGGGAUUCUCUCUCUCUCUCUCUCUCUCUCUCUCUCUGCCCCUCCCCACCUCAUGCUCAUAUGCUCUCUUUCUCUCUCUCAAAAUACUGUCAAAAUAUUUUUCUCUGAGCACAGAGAAAAGGCCAGUGGAGGACAGAGAGCCAUCUGUAAGACAACUAGAGAGGCUCCAGGAAAAACCAAACUUGCUGACCCCUUGAUCUUGGGUCCCAGAACUUUGAGAAAAUUUUGAUUGUUCAAUCAUCCAGUCUGUGGUAUUUUGUUGUGGCUAUGGGAGUAAAGUAAGACAGAGAGUCAUGACUCCUCAGACAAUCACUGGACUUGAGCCGAUUAAGGCCAGGUUAGAAAGGAACCAGCUACACUUGCCAAAAAUGAAUACUUCUAAUUUAAAAAAAAAUUUAUUUAUUUUUGAGACAGAGAGAGAGAGCACGCAAGGGAGGGGCAGAGAGAGAGGGAGACACAGAAUCUGAAGCAGGCUCCAGGCUCUUAACUAUCGGCACAGAGUCUGAUGCGGCGUUCGAACUCACGAACUGUGAGAUCGUGACCCAAGCUGAAGUCAGAUGCUUAACCUACUGAGCCACCCAGGUGUCCCCAAAGUGAAUACUUUUAAUCUUUCUCCUGGACUUCCCUAAAGGGAUCUAUUGUCUUUUACCAGAAUAACUGCACUGGGUAAAAGGAAAUAAUCAGACCUUUCAGGGACUACUGGACACUUGCCCUGAAUUGAUAAUAACUUCAGAAGACUCAAAAUAUCGUUGUCGUCAAAAACAGUAGGACUUAUGGAGAUUUGGUGAUCAAUGGAGUUUUAGCUCAGAUUCAUGUCACAGUGGAUUCACUGAGUUGCUGAACCCAUACUAUGGUUAUUUUUUCAAUUCUGGAAUGCAUAAUUAGAAAAGACAUACUCGACAACUGACAGAAUCCACACAUUGGUUCCCCGACCUGUGGAGUAAGAGCUCUAAUUGGGGGAAGUCCAAGUGGAAGCCACUAGAACUUAUGCUAUCUAAGUAGUGAACUAAGACAUUAGUGCCACUAAUCAAGGACUUCAGAGACACAAGGUCGUGAUUCCCACCACUCUCCACUCAGCUCACCUAUUAGACUGUGUAGAAGACAGAUGGAUCAUGGAAAAUGACAGUGGAUUAUUGCAACUUAACCAGCAGCUGCUGGUGCAGAUGUGGUUUCAUUGCUUGUGCAACUUAACAUACCCCCCGGUAACUGAUAUGCAGCUGUUGUACAGGCAUAUGCUUUUUUGUUUUUUUUUAAAUAUCUGUUAGUAAAGGCAAUCAGUAGCAGUUUGAUUCCAGCUGGCAAGGUCAGCAAUACACCUUCACUGUCCUACAUUGGGAGAAUAUAAAUUCUCCAUCCCUAUGUCACAACUUCAGGAACCUCAAUCAACUUUGGCUUCCACAAGACAUCGUACUAGUCCAUGACACUGAUGCUAUUAUGCUGGUCAGUAUAGACCCUUUGGACUUUGGAUCAAAGCCUUGCCAUACCCUGUGGAUAACUACUCUUUGGAGAAACAGCUUCUUCUUGCACCUGGGACUUAAUAGAAACUGAAUGCUUGACCAGAGGUCACCAUGUUUCCAUGUGACUUGACGAGUUUCCAUGUGUUCAUGACAGCAUAAUACACUUGCUAUUGUCUGAUCUGCCCAAGCCAAGAUGGAUGUGUACAGUGGCAUUCUAUUUUCAAGUGGAGGUGGUAUAUACAAAAAUCAGACCCUGAAGUUUUAAUAAUUUACAUGAGGAAGUGACCAAAUGUCCAUGGUUCCUAUUUCUACUCUAUUACUGUCUCUCUCCAAACGUGUAUCUAUGGCCUCAUGGGGAGUUCCCUAUGAGCAGUUGAUGAAAGAAGAGAAACAAUUUUGAUGUACAGGUGGUUUUGAUGUGCAUGCUAUUCAGGCACCGCCUAAAAGUGGACAGCUGCAGCACCACAGUUCUCUUCUAGAACAUCCCUGGAGUACAUGGUGAAGGGAAAUCUCUCAGUGGUUUCUCAUCUUACUUGUAAAGAGAAGUGGCCAGAGGUGUGAGUUUAUAUCAGUUCAUGGGCUGUGGCCAAUGGUUUGGCUGGACAGUCAGGGAUUUGGAAGGGAAAUAUUGGAAAACUGGUGAUAAGAAGGUCUCGGGAAGAGGUAUGUCGAGGAAUAUCUUUGGGAAAUAGAGUGAAUAGAUCUCUGUCCUAUGUGAAUGCUCACAGAGGAGUAACCUCUUCAGAGGAGGGUAUUAAUAAUCAAAUGGAUAGGAUGACUUGUUUUGUGGCUACCAGUCAGCUUCUUUCCUUGGCCAUCUUUCCCAAUGGGCUCGUGAACAAAGUGGGUAUGGUAGCAGGGACUGAGGUUCAGUAACAUGAACUUCUACUCACCAAGGCCAAUCUACUACAGCCACAACUGAGUGCCAGUCUAUCAGUAGCAGAAACCAACAGUGAGUCUCUGAUAUGGCACCAUUCCCAAAGGUGAUCAGCCAGCUACUUGGUGGCAGGUUGAUUACAUUGGACUGCUUCCAUAAUGGAAGGGGCAGUUCUUUGUUCUUACUAGAAUAAACAUUACUCUAGAUAUAGAUUUGCCUUCCCUGCAUACGGUGCUUCUGCUGAACUACCAUCUGUGGACUAACAGAAUUCUUUAUCUCCCAUAAUGGUACUCCACACAGAAUUGCUUCUGAUCAAGGAACUCCCUUUGUAGUGAAUGAAGUAUGGUAAUGGGCCCAUGAUCAUGGAAUCCAUGAGCUUUAUCAUGUUCCCCAUUAUCCUGAAGCAACUGGUUUGCUUAAAAAAGUGGAAUUGCCUUUUGAAGCCUUAGUUCAAUGCCAGUGAGGUGACAAUACCUUGCAGGACUGGACCAAUGUCAUACAACAGGCUAUAGGUACUCUGAAUCAGCAUUUAAUACAUGGUCCAGUUUCUCCAAAAACUAGAAUUCAUAGGUCCAGGAAAUGAGGGGGUAGACAUAGAAAUGGCACUAUUUACUAUUACCCCUAAUGAUCCACUAGCAAAAAUUUUAUUUUCUACCCCUGGGACUUUAUUCUCUAUUGUUCCGGAAGUCUUAGUUUCCAAGGAAGAAACUAUUUCCAACCGAGAGACACAACAGUGGUUCCACUGAACUGAAAGUUAAGACCAUCAUCUGGCCACUUAGGUCUCCUUAUGCCUCUAAAUCAACAGGCAAUGUUGUCCUAUGCUGGAUGGGUUCCUUGAUCCUGAUUCCCAAUGUGAUUAAAGUAAAUGGAAAACUACAGGGACUUAAUUCAGGCUGGACUAAUGGCCCAGACCUUUCAGAUGAAGAUUUGGGUCACUCCACUAGGCUAAGAACCAUGACAAACUAAGGUUCUUGCAGAAGACAAAGAGAAUAUGGAAUGAGUCGUGGAAGUAAUCAUAAAUGCAAGCUAAGACCAUAUGACCAGUUGCAGAAACAAGGACUGUCAUUGUUAAUAUUUCUUCCUAAUUUUUUAUGAAUAUAUUUAUGUGUGUGUAUGCCUGUAUUAAUAUAUAUAUAUAUAUAUAUAAUAUUUUUGUUUUCUUUCCUCCCUUAUCCCCUUAUCAUCUAACAUAAGAUGUAUUAAUAAUAGUUAAGCUUACAUCACAGUGUUUAAGUUAUGGAAUAUCAAGGAGAAGUACAAAUGACACCCCAAAACGUUGCGUCCUCUUCUGGGGAAAGGGUUAGUGCAUUUUCAGUUAUAUAUAAGGUCAUUGGAUCCUGUUAGGUGGAAUUAUUACUUGUUUUUGUCUUGAUUUGGAGGUAAAGUAUGGUUGAAGGAGGUAUGAAGGGGUGCCAAAUUGAUAAGGAGGGAACUGUAGUAGUUUUACAUACCAACUUGGUUAGGUUAUAACACCCAGUUAUUCAAUCAAACACUAAUCUAGGUGUUGCUGUGAAGGUAUUUUUAUAUGAUUAACACCUACAAUCAGUUGACUUUCAAUAAAGAAGAUUAUAAGGUAGAUGAACUUCAUCUAAUCAAUUGAAAGACCUUAGGAGAAAAGCUGAGGUUUCCCUAAGGAAGAAGAAACUCUACCUCUGGAUGGGAGCAUCAGGUUCUGCCUGAGAGUUUUCAGCCUGCUGGUCUGCCCUAGAAAUUUAAGUCCAGUUCCCACAUUGUAUAAGCUAAUUCUUUGAAAUAUGUGUGUAUGUGUGUGUAUGUGCGUGUGUAUAUGUAUUAAAUAUGUUUAUAUAUUAUAUAAUAUAAAUAUGUGCAUAAUACAUAUUAUAUCUAUCCAACUCAUUCUAUUUCUGUAGUAGAACCCUAAUACAGAUAGAAAACUAAAUAUGCAAUGAGAUAUAUAUCACCAAAUACAAAAUUAUAUUAAGCAAAAUGCUAGGUAACGAAAGCAUAAUCCUGAAAACUCAUGAACUUCUUACACUUCAUCCACCUGGAAGAAAUGGAAUGAAAUGAUUUUUCUGGCAAUUUGUCACCCAAAGCCAUAUCAAUUAUAAGAGCUGCCUUUUAUUGAAUGUCUAUUUAUAUAAGCCAGGCACAAAGCUGGGGACUUUACAUUUAUUUAUGAUUUUUAAAAAAUGUGACAAAGUAAACAUCAUUUCUAAUUUAUAGAGUAUGAAGUGGUGUUUCAGAGAAAGGGAAUAACUUACCAAGAACGUGCUUGUGAAGGCAGUGCAGGGACUUGAACUCAGGUCAACCUGACUCCAAGGUCUGUGCUCUCCGUAAAAGAGAUGACAGUAUUUCAGCCUAGAAUUCCUAGAAGGUAGCCCCAUGUAUGUGGAGUUUGGUAGUAGCCCUCAUGGGGACAAGUGACAAAUGACAACUUCAUAUACCAUUCUCUGUGCUUGGGAAAUGAAACAAGAUGGUGUGUCAGCCUCUGGACAACUCGUGUGCAACCCGCUUAGUAUAAUAACCAUCCAACUCUAUGAUGGGGGCAGUGAAAGAUUCCAGUACUCAUGCAGUUGUGUGUCCAUUUGAGACAAGCCGAGGCGACUUAUGUUUUCUUUCUUGGGACCGUGGUUGAACACCGAAGCUGAAAGUCAUAAAACACCAGAACAGGCCAAAGAAUACAUUUAGUGAAACCCCUGGUUUUCUAAAUGUAAGGUUCUUCGUUAGAAUAUUUCGGUCACUCCGAAAUUUCUAAUCCUUAGGAUAUUUAUAGACCAAUUAACAGGGCUGGGAAAGUUGAAAUUUACAAGUCAAGUUGACUUCAGUUAAUGAGGCACCUCUGGUAUCGCAAAGAGAACAUUGGACCAGGAGUUGGGAGACCAAGACUGAACAUCCAACUUUGGGCCUUACUAAACACUGUCACCUUGUCCAGGUUACUUAAUCUUCCCAAUCCUCACCGACUCCAUCAAUAAAAUGAGUACGAAAUCCCACAUGAUGGCUGUGGGGUUUUAAAUGUGCUUAAAUGAGAACACGUGGGUUGAAAAUCGUCUAGCGUAAUUCAUGGCAUGUAAUAGGUCAUCAAUCAAUGCUUUGCACAAUUUAGCAAUCGCUCCCCUUUUCAGGCAUACUAAUUCUCUGUUGUCAUUGUAGAGGUCUUAGUGGGAGAGUAAUUCCAGGCACUCAUCUCCUACCCAGGAAGCCAAGAGGAUGGACAUCUUUCCACUCCAAAUAGGCCCGUGAACCUAGUUCACCUCUCUUCCCUGGGACAUCGCAUCCUGAGUGAAUGAUGCAAGGUCAGGAGAAACAGAGAUGACUCAUGUUAGGAGCAGUGGCAGCUGAGGCUUUCUGACCAAGCUCUUCGAGUUAUGGGGACACUGCAGGGUUGUUUGCUUCAAGUCUCAUGUCCUUGUGGAGCCUCCUGGUUUCCUACUCAUUCCGAAGUCUGAUCUUCCAGCUCUCACGGAUGAUGUUAGCAGUAGCACCCUCCCACCAUCGAUAUUCUGAAGAAUUCUUCCUUUGCUAAUAAGUUGACUGCGGUUGGCUUUUAUUUCUUGCCAUUGGGAUCCUGGCUGACACACAUGUGAAGAACUGAUAUGAGAGAAGCAGUAGAGUAGGGCUUAUAGUCCUGUUUGCAUAUUUCAUUAGGUUUGGUGAGUUUGCAAUCGUUGGUGUGGGUGUAAAAUUCCAAUUUACUUCUCUAAUGAACUCUUCAACGAUUGACCUGCUCCUAAUUUAGCUGUACAUUAUUAUAGCUAAAUGUUGGUUGCUACAAAAAGACCUUGUUUUGACCUCAUAAGAAAACACCAUUCAGAAUCAACUGGAGGAAAGCAAAACACAUGGCCCAAAGUCAGGGAAGAAAUUCACUGUGUGUGUGUUUUAGGGCUGGCUUCGUCCUUAUUACCGUCUCUUUCCUAAUACACUAACAAUCUCUUGCACAUUUGACCACUGUUUAACAUGAUCAGACAAAUAUUAUUUUAAAAGGAGACAUUCUGAGUUAAAAAUGACCCUCCUUCUUGGGUGUGUUUUGUGGUUUCUGCGGCUGGAGGUUACAAUAGGCCAUUUGAUUAAUGAGCUGUUUUAUUGGGAUGCAAAUAAUGCAUAAUGUCAUAAGAUCCAUAUGUUGUACAUUACCGAGGCAUAAAACCUACCUUGGCAUGAAAUGGAAAAUUUAAAGCAUCUUUCUUGAAAAAAUAUAUCAUGCUAAACAAAAAGCAUGUGGGUAUUUCUGGUAUUUAUGAAACUGGUGAAUGCUAUUCCAGAUUUGCUUAGGUUUAGUGCUAACUCUGAUCUUGUGUGUGUGUGUGUGUGUGUGUUCUGUAUUCGUCAGAAGUACCUUUAUGCUUCUGUUCCUUCUCAGUCUGUUCAGAAUAGUUGAAAAGAGCCAAACAGCUGUUUCUGAUAACACACAGUAGCUAUAACCUGCGUGGGUUAGAAUGAAAAUGGUAGAUACUGGAAAAAAUGUAAUUAUAAUAAAAACAGCCUUUGGGAUUGUAGCAUGUAAUUGCCUAUGCAUCACCAGAGAGGAGGAGCAUGAGAAAGAUAUGUAAAUACACAGUCCAGUGGAUACAAAUUUCAGAGAAAUAAAACCCUUUGGGGGUAUAGAGACUAACAAGGUGGUGGGUGUGAAGUGUGUUGGAGCCCUGAAGUUUUGGUUGAUAUUGGAGAUUUCACCCUCCCUGAAACACUCAUAAGGCCAGAUGAGACCGAUCAGCCAACUUUCCAGAACCUUCACAUGGGUAACUACUCUUCCACCUUCGGCUUCUGCUCAAGUACCAUUUCUCAAAGGGCCUUUCCCCAGUUACUCCCUGGCUGCCAUGGUCACUCUUAUUCCCAUGAUGUCAUUUUAUUGUCUUUAUGAAAACUUUUACUGCCUGAAUCACCUUGUUUACCUGUUGGUUUACUUAUGUAGUGUAUGCUUUGCAGGAGAAAAUAGGCUCCAGGUCAGAUGGGUUCACAGCUAUAAACUCUGGUCAGUGUCUGGAACACAGUAAAUGCUCAAUAAAUAUAUAUGGAAUGUUGAAUUUACAAGUGAGGAUAAUAAUAAUCCUUCUCCCUUGUAAGGAAUUCUAUAAGGCUUAACUGAGAUAAUGCCUGUGAACUUGACAUGAUAAUGCCAAUGCAGAGUAUUUGGCAACCGUUAGCUAGCAUUAUUAUAUGUAUAUUAAUUAAUAUAUAAUUAAUAUAAUUAUUUAAUAUACAUUGAUUAUAUUGUUUAUCAUAUUACAGAUACUAUAUAUGAUUUAUCAUAUUUCACAUUUUAUAUAUCAUAUUACAUACAUUAAUAAAUUAAGGUGUAAUAUAAUUAUAUAAUUAUAUAAAUUGUAUAUGUUAUAUAAAUUAUAUAAUUAUAGUAUAUAAAAUUAACAUUUAUUAUAUUAUGUAAUAUAUUACAUAUAAUUAAUAUAUUUUAUAUCAUAAUAAUAUAUUAAUUUUAAUUAAUAAUUUAAAUAUAAUUUAAAUAAAUAUUAUAAUGACAUAAUAUAUAAUUAAUAUAUGUUAAUAUAUAUUAGUAAUGGCCAGUUGGCUCAUGUGAUGGUCAUGAAGGCUGAGAAGUCUGAUGAUCUGCCAUCUGCAAGCUGGAGUCCUAAGAAAGCAGAUAGUGUAAGUUACAGCUCAGUCCCAAAGUUCUGACAACCAAGAGUGCCAAUGGUAUAAGUCCCAGUACAAGGGCAAGAGAAGGCCAUGUCCAGCUCAGAGAGAGAGAGAGAGAGAGACGAUUUCCCUUUCUUCCACCCUUUUGUUCUAUCCAGGUCCUCAAUGGACUGGAUGAUAUCCCCCGCCCCCCACCAUAUGGGGAGGGCAAUCUACUUAGUCUACCAAUUCAAAUUCCAGUCUCCUUAGAAACAUCCUCAGAGACAUACCCAGACAUAAUAUUUAACCAACUAUUUGGGAACAGCAUGACCCAGUCAAGUUGACACAGAAAAUUAACCAUUACAAUUCGGAUGCUAUAGAACCAUACAGGAGGUUGAUUGAUGCCCAUGGGGAGUGAUUUAACUUGGCUCUGUUAUUCUGUAACUUAUUCACCUAAAUUUUGGAAAGUAAAGUUUCACAAACCUAGAUCAAGAAAAUUACACAGGGGCACCUGGAUGGCUCAGUUGGUUAAGCAUCUAGCUCUUAGUUUUGGCUCAGGCUGUGAUCUUGGGGUUUGUGAGUUCGAGCCCCACACUGGACUCCAUGCUGACAGUAUGGAGCCUCCUUGGGGUUCUCUCUCUCUCCCUCUCUCUCUGCCCCUCUCCUGUUUGUGCGCUCUCUCUAUCUCCCUAAAUAAACUUUGAAAUAAAGAAAAAAAACAAAGAAUUAGUUGCACAGAUUAUUAACAUUCUCUGUUUGCUAUAGCAGUGAGAUUAUGCCUACUGUCAGAGAAUUAUGACUCCAUCAAGAACUGGUAUGCUAUAACAAACUCAGCAGGAAAACUCUACAGGAAAGAAGUUGAGAUAGAAAGCUCUUUCAGAUCGUGUGGUGUCUCUGGGUCACUGGGUUAUCAUUAGGAACCUUAAUUAUUUCUGAGCUUCAUUUAUUUAAGUGCUUUCUUAGAAAUUUCUGGCUCAAUGUAAUUGCACCUACUCUAGCUUAUUUGAUGGCAUUAUACUCUGCACCUUUAAUAAACCUGCUUUAUUAGGAAAAAAAGAUAUAUCGAAUUUCUUUUAUUUACACAGCACAACAUAUGUAGGCUUUAUUCUUAAGCUUCCUAUAGAUAGAGUGAUGAGAUAUGCGAUCCUUCUUGACUGAAGUUCCACUCUUCAAGCAAAGUUGUGAAUGUGUUGCUGUUUCUUUUCUUGAUGAUAGAAUUUUACUUUCUAGCCAGGUUUAUCUUGCCUACCAGAAGGUCAGGGCAUGGGCCAGUCCCAGCUGGGGAAGGACUGUUACUCCUGUGAAAUGUCUCCUUGCUGGUUCACUGCACGCCAGAGCUCCUGUUCACAGGUAUUGAUUUUUGCACAGUAAAAUUCUGAUGGCUUCCUCAAAGGGGCCAAUUUUUUUCAGAUUAACAGCUGCUCUGUUAAUGUCAGAGGAGCUCGGUGGCUAAAAAAGGUCUUUAUUUAUGGAUGUCAAAGAGCAUGUCUCAAACAUCAGGCCUCUCAAAUUCAAAACAAAAGGAGUGUAAUAAAUGGAAAAUUAUAGUUUAUGUGAACUGUCCUCUUUGACUAUAACAUACUUUAGGUAAUAAAGUCAGGGAAUACAAAGACAGUAGAUGUUCUUGUCAUUAGUUAUGUGGUAUGUUGACUUUGUACUAUUUCCACAUGGACGCUAAAAAUCUGUGUUUAGUGUUCUUUUAAAUUUAAUUGUAUUAACGAACCAAGCAAUGACUUGGCUAUGUUUUUAUUUUUAUUUUUCCUGUUGUAGUAGGAACAAAGAGACAAGUAGGCACAGAUCAUCAUUUCUAUUUCACCAGACCAUUUGUAGUCUAACGUGAGUCAUGGUGGAGAUGGGAUCUGAAUGGACCCCAGAUAUCAGGGCUGGACACAGACUUCCUAUUUAUCAGAAAACUAUCUACUUUUCCUGGAAGAAGACAGUGAAGGGGCUCUUUGGCUUAUAGGUUGAUCCGGUGUAUCUCUUUUUGAAUGAAAAGAAGAGAUCACAACUGCCCCAACCAAGAAGACAGGGAAACUGCCCUACUACAUAGAAAGUUGGAAGACAUUUGCCACCAGCCUGGGUUACCUGUGGUUCUGGAUUGAGGAGCCUGUGUGUCAUGUAGGGUCGUCUCCCACAAGCCUUCUGAUUUUCAAGGUUCCACAGGGAGUGCUCCCAUGUAGCUAUCUGUCACCUCUCUCUCCAACCUCUUCCCUGUAGCCUAAUUCUUCAUUUCUGAAAAUUAAUUAAAAAAUCUUUUUUAAUAAAAAAGUUUGUUUAUUUUUGAGAGACAGAGAGAGAUGGAGUGCAAGCAGGGGAGGGGCAGACAGGGAGGGAGUCACAGAAUCUGAAUCUCCAGGCUCUGAGCUGUCAGCAUAGAGCCUGACGUGGGGCUCCAACCCACCAGAUGCGAGAUCAUGACCGGAGCUGAAGUCGGACACUUAACGGACUGAGCCACCCGGAUGCCCCUCUGAAAAUUAAUUUUUAUCAGAGUAAUGCAAGCAAUAGCCUAAGAGUCACAUAUUAAAGAGCCUGUAAUGGAAAACAGCUGCAGACAGAAAUGCAGCUUGAAAACAUGGAGGGAAUGGGGAAGAAAUACGUUGUUCUCUCUCUCUUCCUGUCUUGUGUCUCCCGUGGGCCAGUCCUUACCAGAAACGGGAGCCUGGGUGAUGCAUUCAACAGGGCAGAAGAUGAUUGCAUGGAGAACCAACGAAGCUGGCAAACAACAAAAAAAAUAACCUAAUACCUACGCGGAGCAGCUAUUGUGAGACUUACAUGAGGUAAAGCUGAAAAACACCAGGAAAGUAACUGGUAGGUGGUGGGUCCUCAAAUACACAUUUUCCUCUCCCUUCGUUCCCCUUUCUCAUUGAUCAGAAUCUGCUUUAAAAAAAAAUGAUUUGUUUAGUGCAUAAGCUGUAAAUGUCUUAGAAAGCAUUUUAACAAGGAUGAGACUAAUUCAAAGCAUUUAGGAUAUUUUAGUGUUAGUAACUUGUGAGUGGUAUUUUGACGGGGUGGGUGGGCAGGAGGGGGCUUGCCUCCAUCUCUUGUUCGCACCCAGGGGCAGCUGCUUGUUUAGUUUGCCCUGCCUUGUGUGGCAAGGUCCUGCCUGCUUUGCUCCAGGGCCCCCUCAGCUUUGCCUUUAGGACUCAGUGUGGCUGUUCCUACAGAAAGGUGCUGUAAUCCGAAAAUGCGGGUCGUAAAUCUCUCUGGAAGCCGGGAAGCCUGGUUGUCUCAGACCACUGAGCCACCGCACGCAGACGCUCUCGCUGCAAUGCAUGCACCUUUGCAUUCUCCGGCACAGUUGCCAAAACCACGUGCCAUUUGGUCAGUGCCAAAGAAAUGACUUUCUACCCUCUGAAUCUUGUUUCCCACCCGUACUGUCCUUGAUGCUGUGGGUUCUGAUGGGUUGCCAGUGCCCUUUAUUCUUUGCUAUUAACUUCUCCCUGCCUCUCACCAUUAACCCUUCGGUGGAUCCCAGGGAGUUUCUAGGUUAUGAUUGGAGCAGUUGUCUGGUCCAGGGAGUGUACUGACAUCCUUCUGGCAGAGAGAAAUGGUCCUGUAUUGCAGGACCUGCCUCAGUCCCUGGAGGCUGAGCUUUGACCUUGCUCAGGGAAGCUUUUCUGACCUCUGGAAGGGGCUGACCAGCAGAGAGUGCCCCUGAGAGCUGGGCUGGGCUUCCCGUUGGGAUCUGGGACAGCCCCUAACCCCACGAGUCCCGAGGAACAUAAUUUUCUCUCAGGGCUCCCAUCUACCCUCCCCUAAUCUACUUCACUCAGUUUCCUCGUUAAAGUAAAAAUCAUCAAUGUGCUUUUAAUGUGGCUUUUUGUGUUUCAUUUCCUUUGUUGCUUAAAAAAUGUUUCCAAUGAAACAUUUUAUAAGAUUUCUAUACAGUGCAUACAUUUUGAACAUUUUGUUCCUAUUAACAUAAAAUAUUAUUCUCAUUUCCUCUUGUGUUGGGAAGAAAGAGGAAAAAAGUAUUCUAAAAAUUAAAAAUAAUUUCUUUGCUAUUAAGGAGGUAUGAAUGAUUUAUGAGCAUAAUAAAGGCAAGUCUCUUUGGUCAACAUUAUGAAUUUGAAAAUAAAACUUCUUUUCAGAUUUUUGAAAUGGCUUCGAUGACAGUAGGCCCUAAAAUAACAAAGGAGACCAGGUUAAAAUGGGAAAUUCUUUCCCUCUGCUUUUCCUCUCUGGGGGACAUCGUGUGCUCUCUACCCUUGGGAAGCAAAGUGGAGUCAUCCCAGGGUAGAGGCAGGGAACGCGGUGUCGAAGAGGUUGUUUCCAGGUGCAUCUGUGGGUCAUCUGCAUCUGUACAGAGAUGCACUGAAAAAUCCCCUCUGUCAUUUUUAUAUGUCCUUAAGGGUCAUAUCUAGUUGAGUCUUACCAAAGCUACCCAUGUUGGCUGACUCGCUCCCGGUGACACGGGGUCCCUUGGUUCCUCCCACGUGCCGAUCGCUCAGUAGCUCUGGGAAAUGACCUAAAGGACUGUGUGUUCUCAGGGUAAUUCCCCUGAAGCUCCGCCAGGUCUGCCUGUUAAAUCCCAUGCUUGCCAGAGUGAGGGGGUUCUGUGUUUGGUUUUUGGUUCUGCAUCUCAUGGUUCCCAGCCCAUUGUCCCAGUUCUGCAAUACUAGGCUAUAGAUUAAGCUGGGGAUAUCACCAGGGGAGGCUGGCAAUUGCGAGGGUCCUCUUGAGUGGCGUUUCCUAGGUGAAUUCACCCUCGUUUGAGGUCAAGUGGCUGGCAGUGCAUGCUCAGAAACCAGAUUGUCUUAGUGUAUUAACAAUGUGCUGGGGAAUGGCCGUAUAUCAACCAGCUUAUGGGGCUGAGGAAGAGCCUGGCCCUCCAGUUACAAUAGAAAUGCCACCUUUUAAACACUUGCGUCGAUGCCAGAUCAUUGCAGGGAGAAGGUACCUGCUUGGUGAGACCUAGAAAGACUGGUGUUGACAUCACUAAGAUGCUAGCUUCUGGAUGUUCAAGUUCUAGGCAACUUACCGAGCACCUAGUUCAGGGAGGGCUCUGUUUGAGACACUGGGGAUACAGCAGGGAACAAAGCAAUCAGAAAUCCUUGCCCUCAAGGAGCUUGUAUUGUAGAGACUAUUUGAGCCCAGAGGUCUGGGUAAAUCACUCAUGCACACAUGUUUGGAUUUCUCUUUUCUCUCCUCAAUGUCUCACCAGCUCACCCCAGAAGUGAAGGCAUAUUGAGGCAGUCCUUUGGAGAAAUAACCUAAAGAAAGGGCAACGUGGUGAGAAAUGUCUCUCCACGCCUUCAAUUUUAACCCAGAAAAUUCUUUUUAAAAAAAAAAUUUUUUUUACAUUUAUUUAUUUUUGAGACAGAGAGAGACAGAGCAUGAACGGGGGAGGGUCAGAGAGAGGGAGACACAGAAUCUGAAACAAGCUCCAGGCUCUAAGCUGUCAGCACAAAGCCCGACGUGGGGCUCGAACUCACGGACCACGAGAUCAUGACCUGAGCUGAAGUCUGCCGCUUAACCGACUGAGCCACCCAGGCACCCCAUUAACCCAGAAAAUUCUAUGUGUGGGAAUAAGGACAAGGUUUGAUACUUUGUUAUGGUGUUCUCUCUCCCCCAGUCCUGCUAGCUACAGAAAAGGUCUUGUCAGCCUGCUUAGCAAAUUUAAAACUGAAAGAAUACGUGAGAAGGGACAGACCUCAGACAGAAAAAGGAGAGCAGCCAAAUCCAUCUUCAGGAUCAAGAGCGCGUGGUGUUGCAGAGAGAGGGUUUGACUCGCAAUAUCCGAAACCGUGGUUAAAGAGAGCAAGAGAAGUGAAGACAGGAGGGAGGGUUUUCAAAAUGGCUGUGUUAGAUUAUGAAUUGAAUUUCCUUUCAUGCUUUUUUUGAAUGGAAUUACUUUUGAACUACUUUCGAUUACUAGUCUGCAAAGAUUAAGCCAUAAAGGGCCCUAGGAUUUAUUAAAGUUUGUGAAUUCUGGGUUCUGCUUUUAACCUGAUUAUUCUUAAGUCCUUCAGUCUGCUGGCCUCAUAUUUUCCUUUCACAUACGGCUAAAAUAGUAUGAUCCCCCUUUCCACUGACCUGCAGGAAGUCUGCUAUCCACUCCAGUAUUUUUAAGGUUCCAAAGGUGCAUCAACUGCCUGUCAUCUCCCACUCCAACAUUCUAGCUCGAUUCUUCGCUUCUUCAAUUCAGUUUUUAAUGAAGUAAUGCAUGCGCUAGUUUGAAACUCAAAUAUUCAAUGGAUCAAAAUGCAAAACAGAAGUCCUCAACUAAUUGUUCCAACCAAUUGUCCAACUCCUUGCAGGCAACCAUUUUCAACUCUUCCAGCUCUUGCUUUCUUAUACAGUAGAACCUUGGAUUGUGAGUAACUUGUUCUGGGUGUUCUGCAACACAAGCAAACAUUUCUAAUGUAUUUUAGCUCUAUAAACGAGAGCUGUCUUGCAACACGAGUAGCACGUGACGCCGAACAUCACAUGAUCACAACCGAGCCAAUGGCUCUUCUCUCCCUUGCUGUGGGAUUGUGGGUGAUCGUCGAUGCAAUGUCACCUUUCCGCAAAACCCUCAAAAGGGGGUAAACGCAAGUGUCAGUGAAUAGGUUUCUUGUUAAAGUUUCACAAAAAGAAAAAGAUUCCAGUGAGCCAGGAGUGAUUCUGCUAGUGAUAGUGAAAGUCGUCCUGCACGAUAACCCUCCUCUCUCGUCUCCCUCACACCAGCCAUGAAGGUUUUCAAAGGUAAGCGCAGGUUAAUUUGUUUAUUUCUCUUUAUAUUUUGUAUUUUAUUUAUUAUUUUGUAUUAUAUUACAGUAUUGUAAUCAUUUUUAUAUGAAUAUUUUUGGGUUAUGGAACGAAUCAUGAGAGUUUCCACUAUUUCUUAUGGGAAAUUCACUUUGAAAUACAAGUGCUUUGGAUUACAAGCAUAUUUCCAGAAUGAAUUAUGCUUACAAACCAAGGUGUUACCUUAUUUCUAAAUAAAACACUUGCUUUAUCAUUUAUUAAAUUAUUAACUUUAGGUGUUAAGGACGGAUAUUCUGUUACAAUGGGCAAAGGUUUAACUCUCAUUCUUCUACACCCCCCCCAUCCUGCCCACCUUCUCUUCCUACGCUCUAUUUGAAUGAUAUAAAGUAUUUUUGAUCAAAUCAGCAGUCAGGAUUGACAUUAUUAUGACUAUGAAAAAUAUUAAUAACCAAGAACUGUGUCAUAGUUCUAUCUUCUUUCUUGUACAUAUUGUUUUUUCCUAGAGUUAGUAUUUUCCUCAUUUUUUAUUUGCUUAUUUUUGUGUGUGUGCACUUCUAUUUAAUAUUUUUCAUGCUGCAUUGUAUUUUCUUACACAUCCAUUAAUAUUAUUUUCCAAAUGGUCAAAUAAACAAAAUAACCUAUCAACUAAUUCUUUUUCCCUGGGUUCCUCUCUCCAAAUGCUUCCUCUCUUGGUUUCCAUUUGGACAGUUGCUUCUCAGGCCUGCUGCUCUCAUCAUGGAUUUCCUUUUUUGUGUCUUUGUGUUGCAUCCACUGUUUCCAACUCAUUCUGCAUUUGCCCCCUCACUUGAAGGAGGGAGCACAUGCUCCUAUACUCGUGGGAAGUUGUUCAUAGUGAUAAUUAUGUGUUUAAAAUAUUGCCUUUUUGUUUCUGAUCUACCUUCAUACUUAGUUGAUCAUUUGGGUAUAUAAUGGUAGGUUGCAAAUCAUUUUGCCUCAUAAUUUUGAAACUAUUUUUUCCAUUGCUUUCUAAUCAUCAGAUUUGUUGUUAAGAAGUCUGAUAUUAUUUCAUUCCAUACACUUUGUCAAUGACCUUUCCUCCCAACCCCAAGGAAAUUUACAAGAUUUGCUUCUUUUACUUUCUGGUGCUCUGAUAUUUCUUAAUGAAGAGCCUAUGUGCUUGCUUUUUAUCGUUUGCUGUGCUGGACAUGGUGUAUUGUUCUUUCAGUCUGGAGAAUCUCAUAUCCUUUGGCCCUGGAAAAUAUUCUCUGGUAUGAAUAUGAAAAUAGCUUUCUCUCCAUUUUCCCUUCUAUUUUAUUAAUCUAUUGUUGAGUUUCCUGGGCCAAUACUCUAAGUUUCUUAUCUUUUCUCUUCACAGUUCUUUUGAUUUUAUUUGCUCUACUUACCAAAAUGUUUCUUAGUUUUUAUCUACCAAACUCGUUGUUACUUUUUUAAGAGUGGGGGGUGUAGAGAGAGAGAGGGAGAGAGAGAAUCCUAAGCAGUCUCCAUGCUCAGCGUGGAGCCCAACGUGGGGCUCUAUCUCACGAUGCUGAGAUCAGGAUCUGAGCUGAAAUCAAGUGGUGGAUGCUUAACUGACCGGGCCACCCAGGUGCCUCAGUGUUACAUUUUUUAUUUUGACCAACAAUUUUCCAGUUUGUUCCCCAACACUUGUCUAUGCAGCAUCCCAUCUUCCUCUUAUAUUUGCCUCAUCUCUUCUUAUCUCUCCACUUUCAUUCUUUCUGCCUUAUUGACUAACCUCAUAGUUUUCUUUUCUUCCUUACUCCUCCCCUUCCUCCUUUUUCUUUCAGUUGUGGUAUUUUGGGUUCUUUCCAAAUGUUGAAAGUUGUUGCCAUGUUUUGGGUUCUUUUCAUGUUGGAUGCCUUUUCCAAAUGUCUGAUUGUCUCUUCACAUUUAAUAGUGAUGACUAAAAGCUGAUUAGAAGUGCUGAAAGUGGGGACUGGACAUAUUCAUAAGUAAUUUUCAAGAUACUGGGAUUGGAUGCUACCUGUAGAGCUGAUAUCAGUAUCUGGCAGCUUUUUAUUUGGGGAUUGUAAUUUUUCCAAAAGAAGACUUUUCAAAUCUUCCACCUAUAAGGGCUAUUUCUAGAAGUAGAAAUUUCACUUAAACUUCUGUUUUCAACUGUUGACCUCUCUCUUUCCUGGAUUUUGACUAAUGUCCUGAGUUUCCUGUUUGUCUUUUCCUGAGAAUGAACCAUGGGUCCUGUGUGUGUGUUUGUGUGUGUGUGUGUGUGUGUGUGUGUGUGCAUGUGCGUAUGUGAUGGGGGGCUUCAUGAGGUGAAGGAGGAGGCAAGGAGCCAACCCUUCCACAAAGGGACUUUUGACUCUUUAUGGGCUGAACUGUGUGUCCCCCAAAUCUAUGUGUUGAAGUACCUCAGAAUGUGAUUAUAUUUGGAGACAGUUUUAAAGAGGUAAUCCAAUUAAAAUGAAGUCAUCAGAGUGGCCCUAAUCCAAUAUGACUAGUAUCCUUAUAAGAAGAGGAAAUUUGGACACAGGCAAUUACAGAGGGAAAACUAUGUGAAGCCACAGGCAGAAGACGUCCAUUCACAAGCCAAGGAAGUGAUCUCAGAAGAAACUGAUUCUGCUGACACCUUGAUCUUGGACUUCUAAAUGCCAGAACUGUGAGAAAAUAUAUUUCUUGUUGUUUAAGCCCCUCGUCUGCGGUACUUUGUUAUGGUAGCCCAAGCAAACUAAUGUACCAUGUUUUCGGCCCUGUUCCACAUCCCUAAGUUUGAUGAUGCCUGUUUCCUUCAAAUUCUGUUCUUUUCAAGGUCCUGUGGGAGGAACUGGCUCACAUCCCCUCUGCAGGCUGCCACCCUUGUAUGUCACUCACUGUACCUCUCUCCAUCUGCUUUCUGUCUUCCUAAAAUUUGUGGAAUUAUGAAAAUUUCUUUAAGUGUGCCUCCUACUGUCUUUAUUCGUUAGAGUUUUAUACUAAAAACAAAACAAAACAGAACAAAACAUCUUUUGCUGCCAUUUUAGUGGUUUUCGAGAGAGGGAAGAGUUAUACUUGCAUUUUAACCUAAGGCGAAUUUCAAAAAUUCUAGAACCUUUUAAUCUAGCAAUAGCAAUAAUCAACAUGUUAUGAAACUGUCGUUCUUUUUAAUAAAUUACAUACAUACUGGCACCCAAUUUGUUGGUUCUCAGCUCCCAACGCACGCUUCUUUGCCCUGUUUCUGAUACUGGAGCUGUAUCCUGUAAACAUUUCUGGUUUACCAGAUGGCUUGAUACUAGGCUUCAUCAAUAGGGGACUUCGGAGGGACACUGCAGGGGGAAGGAGUUUCUCUUCCUGGUUCCCCUGUUCUUUUAUCUCCGGCUCCUGUGGCGUGAGGCUGCCAAAGGCAUAUGGGGCAGCCAUGACACAAACACUUCAGUGAGUUUCACAGACACCCAUCUGUGAAUUCCUAGUGAGUCUUGGGGGCCUCCUAAUGGGGGCUUCCCAGUGAGUCCCAUCACGGCCCAACAGGAAGUUUUCAACUUGCCAGCACGGGCCUAUGGCACUUCAGUGAAUUUCUUGCUAUCCAGUGGGCCCCAGUCACAACUUCUCAAAUGGGAUCUGAAUCUCAGCCUGGUGUAGUGGGAUAUUUUUUCUCAGAUUUUUCUCUUUUUGGGGUGCUCUGUCUCAGCCCUAGAUGUAGUGGCUGUCUCCCUUAUCUGCUGGUCUUGUAUUUUUUAGAGCAAGGGUGUGCAAAACUUUUCUGGAAAGAGCCAGCAAGUAAAUAUUUUAGGCUUCAAGGGCCAUGGGGUCUGUAUUACUCAAUGGAAUGUUGUAGUGAGAAAACAGCCACAGACGGCACACAAAUGAACAGGCACGGCCAGAUGGGCCACAGGUCCACUCCUGCUUCCUUAUGCUCCUUAGCCCAUAGGCAUCGACCCCCUGUUACUAGUGAACAGUUCUUUAUAUGAAGUCCUCACUGUUCAAAUUACUGGUGUGGUUACUUCUGACCGGACCCUGAUUGAUAUACCACAUUGAAAUUUUAGGCGAGGACUUGGCUCGUGACUUGGGCCAGCUGAGAGUGUUUGCUCUGGAUCUUACAAUUCUGGUCAGUGUUAGAGAAUGAAUGAGAGAAGGAGUGACUCUGUGGCAGUCUUAAACAGUAAAAAUAACAAGCGGGUGGAUAUUUUAGGCAGGGCUUUCUUACCUGCGUGCAGACAAGACUUGGGGCAAAGCAGAAAAAUCUUCUCUUCUUGUCAGUCGUAAACUUCAGGUUCAUAAAAUGUUCCCUCCCGUUACCUACUCUAUAAAACUUUCACGUUUAUUUUAAAAUAAUUUCCCCGAGAUCUUUGGGUAGAAUUGACACUCUAGGAAGAUGCAGGGCGUUUUAUCCUGGGGCUCACUCUCCCCUGGGCUCAGGAUGGCAGUGCUCUUGGGGAGCACGUGUCAAAUGCUCUUUGGAGUGGUAGUUUCACCGCCUCCCCAAGCUUUUCUGAGCCAAAAUACAUCGCAGUUGAUUAGUUUCCUGCUUUCGAAAUUGCUGUCAAGUUCCAGACUCAUCUCCCUGAGAUUAUUCCCAUCAUCUUUAUUGGAGGUUUGGGUGUCUGCAAAUUCUUCAGUGACACAUUUACAGGCUGUCUUUUGCUUUAUGCUCACAGAUGGCUAAUCACAAUGACACCGUGUAUUUUACUAGUUUAAUUCUCAGAGGGUAACCUCUUUUCCAAGAUUUUGUUUCUCCAUGCAUUGCCACUACCAAGAAAAUGUUCCCUGAUCACAAUGGGACAGAGAACACUUACCCCAAGGCUAUCCCAAAGACAGGGCUCUGGGACUUCCUGAAAAUCAGAACCUUGCCUGAGAUGUUUCUGCCAGGUUCCCUAUGGCUUUUAACUCACGUGAUGGGUUAGGGAGAGAAGUGAAAGGAAAAAGCAUGCUUCCAGGCAAUCCUGGGGUAAAAGCAAUAGCAGUUGGCAAAACCUUUGCCCUAACUGCCUAUCAAUUUUUCUCUUUGUUAUGAUACAAGCAGGGAAGGUUGUAAGAUCAGCUGUCGUAAAUGAUGAGUUAAGACAGAAUUAUGAGUACAGGAUGCCUUAUUGCUGGUGUCAUACUGAAAGCUCUGAAGGGAAAACAGGGGAAAGGGAAAGAAACAUUUUUUCCCCCUGCUCACGUAAGGCUUGGGAUGGAGUAUGAGAAGGCGCUCCGAUCACCAGCUGAGAGCUUUCCACUGCCCCUCCUUUCCAUCCCAUUUUGGAUCAACCAAUCCUCUCUUGUAGAUAGAAUACAGGGUCCACAAGGCGCCUCGCAAGGAGUCAAAAUCGGUAAGGUCGUCCUCUGGGUUAAGCUAUAACACUGACUUAGAUCAGUGUGAAAAAGUGCAAAGUCAUCUUAGAAAUAAAAUGUUUUCUAGGCUAAGACAAUGAUGAAUGGACUGUAGGCACCGAUGCAGGCAAAGGAAGAAAAGGCUUUGCAGAAAGAAGUUGAAGAAAGGCGGUGCCUGUCCAGGUCCGUUGUGCAGGAGAGAGACUCCACCCCCAGCCCCUGUCCCCGAGGAAUCAGGAGCAUCAGCCAUUAUCAUCUUUAUACUCACCCUUCGCCACAUUUGAUCUUUGGCAAGUCAACUUCUGCUCAUGGUCUUACUCCCUGUGUGGAUUUGUCUGCAGAGAGAGAAUGGCUUGAUCCCCAAACAUCCCUAUCACAUCCACUUGACAGCUGUUGUCUCAUUGGAAACGAACAAAUUAGCAACAUGGUGGCUGCCAAGUUGGUUGGUAUCUGAAACUUGGGGUGCUAACAGAUCAGUUAUGUGCCAUGUUGGAUAAGGAGCCCCAGUGUGGGACCAGCUGGGUUCCUAUGGCACUUGUAAAUAGUCCUAAAAUACAUCUGAACUUUUUUCAGACAGACAUUUUUAUUAUCUAGAAACUUAAUUCUAAGAGAAAAAGUUGGUUAAAUUGCAGCCAUUAAGAGACUCAGAAUACUACAGCGUUCAGACAACAUGGGCUCCAGGUCUGGUCCUCUAGCCUUUCUUCAUGAUGUCCAUAGGCGCUUAGUUGGGUCUCUGUGUGCUCAAAUUGUUUCACCUAUCAAGUGAGCAUAGUAGUACAUAAUAAAGUAUUUAUGUAACAGGUUUGUUGUGAGCGUUAAAUGAGGUUUGCCCAUGAAAUAUUUAUUGCAAUGCCUGGCACUCAGUAAGGGAUCCAUAAAUUUUAGCUGUCAUCACCGUGAUUAUUAUUAUCAAGUAUUUUUUUUUCUCCUUUCCAAGGAUCAAAGUCAUAUGUUACUGCCAAUCAGAGUUUAGAUCUGCCCAAGAUAAUCAGUGCUAAAACACCCAGUUGAAAGCACUUUUGACCAGGCACUACUCUAGUAUAAAAUAAUAGUAAGCAAAAAAUAAAAAAAAAAAAACAUAUUUAUUUAACAAAGAAUAUCGAAUUUAAUUUCAGAGAGUAGUAAAGGAAAUGGAGGUAAGGGCUGUGAGAGGGUGAUGGCGAUGGCGUUAGAUAGUGUGACUCUACUGGUUUUAGAUCCAAGAAGCGAUAGGAGCUGGAUGGAGUGAAAGACCCUGAGAGAAAGUGGCAUCAGAGGCUGAGAGCCAAAAGAUGAGGUCAGCCCUUUAUGCUCUGCAGCAAACAUUCAGGAAGGGGGUACAGCUGAUACAGCCUGGAGGAGAGAAAGAGCUUGGGAACUUUAGCAAUAGAAAGAAGGCCAGUGAGGAUGGAAAACAAGGAUGGGGGAUAGGCAGGGGGCGGGUUUGGGAGGGAGGGGUUGCAGGCUACCGUAGAGAGGAGGGUUUCAAGCCUAAGGUAGAAGGAAGGACUGGGUUUGAAGCAGUGCAGCCAAGGCUGGAGCGAGGAGAGUGGAUUGUCAUGGGGUAAUGUAUCCCCUAAGGGCAGGGAGACUGUCUGGAAGUUAAGAGCUUGGCCAGGGAAGAGAGAAUAGUGGCUUAGGCUGGUGCAGAGAGAGUGGAAAUGGAGAGAAAUGGUUGGAUGUGUUUUGGAAGGAAAACUGAUAGGACUUCCUGACAAAUCAGGUGCGGGGAAUAAAGGCCAGAGAGAAAUCAAAGACGAUGGUUGGAUUUUUGGCUUGAACAGUGACGUCAAGGAUUGUUUCAUGAAGUGUGGGUGGAUGGACUGGGACAAAGUGGAUUUGGUGGGGAAAAAAUUAGGUUUAUGAGAAAUAAGUUGAGACUGUUAGAUGUUGUUUCAGAUAUUUCGGUGGCCUUUGCGUGGCAUGUUUGUGCUUUCUGUAAAGUUUUAAAAACCCCAAAUCCUAUUUCAAGGAGCUCUACCACCCUAGAACCCUAUACUGGGAACUGUUCUUCUGUUCAACCCUUUGGUGACACAUGAAAAAAAUGUUACGUAGCAAUGAGGUUUCCAUUGUGACUUUGUGGUGGAACUGGCCCCGGCCCCUGAGCUUAUUUACUGAUCUAUUUAUUUCUGAUGAGUUAUUCUGUUCUGAGCUUCACAUCAGCUCCAAGAUCAUCUCUAUAAUAAGAAGAGUCUCAGGAAACCCUAAGCCUAAGAAUGUCUUUUGGAUAAAACAAGGAUCUUGUUUUCACGCAAAUGUGGCCUCAUAAAUGAAGAGACGUAGAAAUGGACGUAGAGCCAAGCUGUGGAAGCGACAUAGAUUUUCUGAAACACCAAUAGUUUCCUAAGGGAUCGUUUGCCCAUCUGGGUUUAUUGGGACUGCCAGGAAGAAAAAAAAAAAAAAAAGAAAGGUCAUGUGAUCAUGUCCAAAGAGUAUGCCGUGUCAGUUAUGAAAUAAUUAUUUAAAUGGUAUUAUUUGGAUACUGUCUGAAUUCAUAUUUUUCUGCCCCAGGGAUUGGGAGGGGUCAGGGAAGCCAUUAGUGAUUGCUGAGAAACCAAUACUACGUAUCCCAAACAAACCUGCACACAAUGUCCCAUAAAAAUCUCAUUACUCACCCUGUUCUCCCUGAAUCAGCAUUCUGGGCACUGUUGUAGAUAUCCUGUAAAUUGCACAUUUAUAAAUUACUCAUUUAUAACAUCUGUCGGAAGGCAGCUAUAGAAGCAGAUAAUCUUUUCCCUGUAGCCUCAGCUCUGUAGCAGCUUGCUUUCAGAUUUUGCUUUGAUCUUUUUUCAGUGUCCCUGAAGACUUCAGACCUGUUGUUGACUGGCUCCAAAUUAUCUGGGAGUGUUCCAAUGAAUCCGGACUGCCUCUUUGACCCAGUCGUGGAGGAGGCUGGAAACCAGCCAUGUGCCAGGAAUUAGACGUUGGGAAUGAAGAGGUGAAAGAGACAGUCCCUGUUAAAGACGGCCACAGAGAGCUAAGAAAAUUAGUGAAGACAGCACAGCAUGCAAAGAAGUGCCAUCGGGAUUUGCACAGAGUAUUGGUGAGAAUGGAAGAAGCAUCUAACGCCUCCUGGGUGACACUCCAGGAAAAAGAGGUGGGGAAAUGCUUUAAAGUGACACCAGAGAACACUCACACCCUGCUGGUGGGAACGUAAAACAGUGCAGCCACUUUGGAGGACAGUCUGGCAUUUCCUCCGAAGGUGAAACACAGAGUUACCACGUGACCCAGCAAUUCCACUCCUCGGUCGGCACCCAAGAGAAAUGAAAAUACAGGUUCACACACACACACACACACACACACACACACAACUUGUACGUGAAUGUUCAGAACAGUAUUACUCAUUAUAGCUGCAAAAUGAAAACAGCUCAAAUGUCCCUCCCGUGAUGAAUGGAUAAAUUAAAUGUGGUGUCCGUACCCUGGAAUGUUCUUUGACGUUAAAGAGGAAAAAAGUACUGAUGCAUACUACAACGUGCAUGAAGCUUGAGAACGUUAUGCUGAGUGAAAGAAGGCAGUCACAAAGCAUCAAAUAUUGUAUGAUUUCCUUUGGGUGAAAUAUCUAGCAUAGGCAAAUCUGUAGAGACAGGGAGUAGAUUACUGUUUGCCUAGAUCUGGUGGAAAUGGGAGCAUUGAGGGGUUAUGGCUGAGGGCCACAGGCUUUCCUUUUCAGGUGGUGCUUUGAAAUUGCUUCUGUAAUUGUUGCACAACUUGGUGAAUAUACGAAAAGCCCUUGAAUCAUACACUCACAUAGGUGAAUUGUAUGGUAUAUGAAUUCAAUCUCAAUAAAGUUGUUAAAAACAACAGUGACACCUGAGGACCAGUAGGGGAGAAGGUUACUGGGCAGAGUGACAAUAAUGAGCAAAUAUACCCCAUUAGCAACCCCCCCUUGACUCUACUGCCAAAAUGUGUCCCCCAGAUCCUUUUAACCUUCUCUAUUCGCACCACUACCUUCCUGAUCCAAGCCACUGGUAUCUACCUGAACCACUGAAGUAGCCUCAUAACUACUAUACUCCUGUCCCUGUGCUGGGGGGUUGAGUGGCAGCACAGGACCAUCCUUCUUCUCUGGAGGGGCUGAAAGUGUGGGGAGCUCAUUUUCCAGAGGCCCUGUUUCGGGGCUCCAGACUGCCCAUGCCCCUUCCCUAGGACCCCUUCCCUGUUUCUGCUGAGUAUCUGGCUCAUCCCUAGUCGCACUGUCUUCCCCUGUGACACUCGAUCACGACUGAGAGUGGUUUUCUUUGUAGCUCAUGUCACCUGCUGAGGUUCACGUAUGUCCUUUCUUGCUCACUCUCCGCCUCCUUUCUGGAAUGCAAGCUCCCUGCAAGCAGGGACUUUGAUUCACAGCAGUAUGUGCGGUGCCUCGUUCAGUCUCUCGUACACAGAAGCUUCUCGUACUCUUGCUUGCUGAGUGUGCGAAGACGAGGCAGGACGAGGACAGGGCGUUGAGGGCCUAUCUCGCGCGGUCUGUGGUUGGAAUGCCACGGGGCAGUUGUGGGGGUGGAGGGAGGUGAACGGUGAGGUUGCUGGGAAGAUGGGUCACACAGGGCUUUGCUAUUUCCUAGCUGUGUCAUCUUAGAAAAGGCAUUUCAUCUCUCCAAGCCUCUCCGGUUCUCCACUUUACAAUGGAAUUUUUAAAACCCAUCUUGUGAGGGUCGAAUGUGUACAUUACAUGAAAAUCCUGAGGAAAUUCAUAUAUUGAACAUUGAAUAUUCUCAUGUGCCCACAGGGGCUAGGCCCUGAAAAUUCAGAGAUUAAAAAAGGUGUGUUCUCUGUCCUUGAGAAGCCCAUGUCUGGCAAGGAAGACAGACCCACAAGAAGUCAUAAAAGGUGUCUCACAUGAUUGUUGCCUCAAGGCCUCUCAGCCAGAGUGCCUGACUUCCAGCCACUUCUCAUGACAGGGUGCCAGUCUGUGUUGUGUCUUUAUUAGCACUGGGACCUCCUCAAGGACAGUGGCGGGCCUCCACAUCUUCCACAGGGCCUGUGGGGCCUCUUCGGGAUCCAGGUACUAAGGAGGUCCAGCCUGCCUCUUCUCUUGAAUGGGGGGGCUUGGCUUAUCUUCGAAACCAGGUGAUCAAAAAUCCCAGGUCUCCCGACCUUGUACCCUGAGUUACAGAAAACAUUUCCUUUUAUGACAGGAGAGCUCUUUAUUCUCCUUGCAUCGCCUUUCCCGGAUGCUUAUUCAGUCAGGCGCCAUUUUGACAUGACUCUGCUUUCUAGGCGUAGGUUCUUUCCGCCCUGCCUUUUCACUGCAUCACUUCUCCUCUUGCAAACUUUCUCCCCUUUGCUAAAGUCUGUUGUACCCAGCCUUCAUUGUCUUAAAAACUGCUGGGACUCUUUGUGACUGGGGACUCUGCUUUUUACCCUUCCAGGUUCUCAGAGCUUAGCAGUGCCCACAGAAAUGUCCUCUCUGCUCCCCAGAAUUUUAUCCACACCCUGUAACUGUUUGGAGGCACAGUCCGCGGCAGUGCGUGUUUCUCAGCUGCUUGUGACAUCAGGUUGGGAACUCCCUUGGGAUGCCGGCCUUUGUCACCUCAUCACUUGGUGUGCCUGGCAGAGUGGACAAUGGUGUUUGGGAUGGAGGUUUGAUGGCUUGGAGUGACAAUAAUGUCUUCAAACCUACCCUCUUGCUCUCGUUUGGGUCUAAGUAAAAAAUGCCAAAUGAACAGCCUCUUCUCGGCCUCCCUCAAGCCAGCUGGGACCAGGCAGCAGCCUUCGGGGUGACUAAGGAGGAGGAGGUGCGUGUUUUACUAUCAUACCUCCAGUCUCCAGUUUUCUCAAGGGCUUCAUUUCUUUUGCUUGACUGGGGGAGCUGAGUGUCUAAGUAAAGUGCAUUGUUUCCCCUGCUUCCGAUUCACCUCAGGACUAGACUGGCAGCUGUGGGGCACCUGGGUGGCUCAGUCGAUUAAGCAUCUGACUUCAGCUCAGGUCAUGAUCUCAUGGUUCCUGAGUUCCAGCCCCGCGUCGGGCUCUGUGCUGACAGCUCAGAGCCUGGAGCCUGCUUCGGACUCUGUGUCUCCGUCUCUCUCUGCCCGUCCCCCACUCUGUCUCUGUCUCUCUCAAAAGUAAAUAAACACUAAAAAAAAUAAAAAUUAAAAAAAAAAAGACUAAACUCAUUCUGGUGCUCAAUUGGAAGUUUUGAAGAAAAAAAAAGACCGGCAGCUGUGUCUGAGAAGAAGAAGGUGCUGGUGGGGAUGGAAGGAGAAUGAGGGGUAAGUUUUGAUUAGAAAUAAAUGGAAAAAAUGAAAAAAAAAAAAAAACUAAGGAAAUGCAUUAUUCAAAGAUUUACAACAUGUUUGCUCAAUAAACCUUUAUUUAUUGCCCAAAGUCUGAUUUCUUUUGGAAGAUUACCUUGGCAGACAGUCUAUAAGUAACGGCAGUGCAACAGAAUUGGAAACUCUAGGCAAGGGGAGCCUUAGAAAGUAGUUGUCCAUCUGUGUGAACUUUAAAAAAGUUUUUUUAAAAUAUUUAUUUUUGAGAGACAGGGAGAUGCAGAGAAAGAGAGAGACACUGAAUCGGAAGCAGGUUCCAGGCUCCGAGCUGCCAGCACCGAGCCUGAGGUGGGGCUCAAACUUGUGAACUGUGAGACCAUGACCUGAGCUGAAGCCAGAGUCUUAAUGGACUGAGCCACCCAGGGAUCCCUUGUGUGAACUUUUAAA